rnacentral:rRNA from 1 species
GACGAACGCUGGCGGCGUGCCUAAUACAUGCAAGUAGGACGCAGUUGCGAACGGGUGAGUAACGCGUAGGUAACUACCUAUUAGAGGGGGCUAACUAUUGGAAACGAUAGCUAAUACCGCAUACUAGUAGAUGGACCUGCGUUGUAUUAGCUAGUAGGUAGGGUAAUGGGCUACCUAGUCAACGAUACAUAGCCGACCUGGUAGGGUGAUCGGCCACACUUGGACCUGGACCAGGCCCAGGAUGCUACGGGAGGCAGGAGGAGGGAAACAUCGGAAAUGGGGGGAACCCUGGCCGAGCAACGCCGCGGGAGUGGAGGAGGUUUUCGGAUCGUAAAGGUCUGUUGUUAAGGAAGCGGUACUUAACCAGAAAGGGACGGCUAACUACGUGCCAGCAGCCGCGGUAAUUC